UUACCGAGUUUACACUCCCCACCCCUGUGAACAUACCACUUGUUGCCUCGGCGGAUCAGCCCGCUCCCGGUAAAACGGGACGGCCCGCCAGAGGACCCCUAAACUCUGUUUCUAUAUGUAACUUCUGAGUAAAACCAUAAAUAAAUCAAAACUUUCAACAACGGAUCUCUUGGUUCUGGCAUCGAUGAAGAACGCAGCAAAAUGCGAUAAGUAAUGUGAAUUGCAGAAUUCAGUGAAUCAUCGAAUCUUUGAACGCACAUUGCGCCCGCCAGUAUUCUGGCGGGCAUGCCUGUUCGAGCGUCAUUUCAACCCUCAAGCACAGCUUGGUGUUGGGACUCGCGUUAAUUCGCGUUCCUCAAAUUGAUUGGCGGUCACGUCGAGCUUCCAUAGCGUAGUAGUAAAACCCUCGUUACUGGUAAUCGUCGCGGCCACGCCGUUAAACCCCAACUUCUGAAUGUUGACCUCGGAUCAGGUAGGAAUACCCGCUGAACUUAAGCAUAUCAUAAAGCGGAGGAA
rnacentral:rRNA from 1 species